UACGAAGGGGCUAGCGUUGCUCGGAAUCACUGGGCGUAAAGCGCACGUAGGCGGCUUUCUAAGUCGGGGGUGAAAUCCUGGAGCUCAACUCCAGAACUGCCCUUCGAUACUGGAGAGCUCGAGUCCGGGAGAGGUGAGUGGAACUGGCGAGUGUAGAGGUGAAAUUCGUAGAUAUUCGCAAGAACACCAGUGGCGAAGGCGGACUCACUGGCCCGGUACGUGACGCUG
rnacentral:rRNA from 1 species